rnacentral:lncRNA from 1 species
CACCUCGAGGCGCAGGGUUCGAGACGACCAAAAGAAUGAGUCUAUAUCGAGUAAAAAGAAAAAGAAGAAAACGAAAAAGAAGUGAACUCAAAGUGCGGAAGUGGAGAAAGAUGCAGACUGCUCAAGAUAUGAUUGAAGUCACAAGCUUCGCAUGUCCCGCCUUGAUCUGAAAAGCUGAAGAAGAAGGAACCAGCACCUGCAGCUAACAAGCAUCAAGAUUCAGAUCAGAGUCCGCAUAAAGAACUAACCAAAACUCAAGAUUAAGAUUUAGAAGACUCAUAGAUAUGAAUCUUGUAACUCAUGGCUGAUAGGCUUAGUUAGUCUUUUUAAUUUUAAUUUUGAUGUAAUAACGGGACCACAGACCAGAACCUCAAUGGCACCUCGCUCGGCUCUUAACCUCGGUACUCCAUCAUCUCAUUCACUUCUGAACUACACAUGUCCUGAUUCCUUUAUAGCUAAGGAUAUGUAGGCAACUCAAAUAUCAGGGAUCAGUCACAUUCUCCUUCCUCUUAGUUUUUGGUCUCCUUAAAUAAGGGUCGGGUCAAAAAACCUGUCUAGUCUUUCUUUGUCUAAAAACUCUUCGCGUUUCCAGUCAAAAAUGGGCAGCUGUAGACAUGUGAUUUUUGACCCUCUCCAAGAUUUUUCAUAUUUUAGCACGUAAAUAUUUAGUUUAGGCCCAAUAUAGCUAUUUCAACUAAUUUUUACUCUUUUACUUUAUUUUAUUACAAGAAAAAUGAAAAUUACAAAAAUUAUUCCAUUAAUGUUUUGUAGUCAUUUUUAAUCUUGACAAAUACCAAAAAAUAGUUUUGUUUUAACGGUCAAUCUUAUUUUAAUAGUUAUUUACUUAAGUAGGACUAAUUAAUAAAUGAGAUCACAUUUUUAAUCUCGUUCGCAGGAAAAGAAUAAAACUUGGGCUCGAGCAACCCAUUUUUAGGCCUAAUUUUGGACCUAACCCAUAAUUCUCAAGCCUAUAAUUCCUAGGCCCAUACCCCUAACCUAAUUCCUACCCCUAUAUAAUAGAACCUAACACCUAAAUAUAAACCUACACCUAAAAAACAUAUUGAAUCUGUCGUUAUCUUCUGAAAAAUCAAAGAAAAGCUUUGAACGAAAAAAUACAAAAAACGCAAACAAACCUAGAGCCUAAGACUAAAAGGCUAACGAUCAGCUAAAAGAAUAAAGAGACAAUUGGAAAAAGCUGCACCACAAUUCUCAAUACAAGACCCCUCCCCCCAUCGAUUGUCUUUUCUUCUUCAAAAAACAUGAAGAAAGCUUCAGAAUUUUUUAAGUUUCAGCACCAUUGACGACCAAAAAACGACCUCACCGUUCUGCUUCCCCUCUAUCCAAAACCAGCAGAAACCAACGUCCAUCAAAACUCCAUCGCCGGACCCCCGUUCACCACGCAUCUUCCAUCUCCGGCGAGGCUUCAGCCGCAGAACACAACCCACCCUUUGUUCUUCGAAGGAGCAGCACCUUCAGCUCCUUUUUCUGGCGAAAAACGUAGAAAAACCUAACGCUAAGGAUCCCCUGAACCAAAACACACAAUCGCAUCUCCAAAAGAAAUCGAGCAAAUCUGAGGUGCCGACGAGGCCCAUUGUGGAGUUUUGUCACGGUUCCGACAGGUUUUCUCGUCUGGUUCGAGGUUUCCAUUUUUGGUGGUGAGAUUACUUCUUUUAUUUAUUUUUGGUUUUAUUACAUUGUUAUGAAUGCUUGGUUCUGUUACGAUGUUUGGGAAUGUUUUGUUCUAAUAAAAUUUUUAUUGCAUUAAUGUGUUGU